rnacentral:rRNA from 1 species
AACGAACGCUGGCGGCAGGCUUAACACAUGCAAGUCGAACGGUCUCUUCGGAGGCAGUGGCAGACGGGUGAGUAACGCGUGGGAAUCUACCCAGUUCUACGGAACAACAGAGGGAAACUUCUGCUAAUACCGUAUACGCCCUACGGGGGAAAGAUUUAUCGGAAUUGGAUGAGCCCGCGUUGGAUUAGCUAGUUGGUGGGGUAAUGGCCUACCAAGGCGACGAUCCAUAGCUGGUCUGAGAGGAUGAUCAGCCACACUGGGACUGAGACACGGCCCAGACUCCUACGGGAGGCAGCAGUGGGGAAUAUUGGACAAUGGGCGAAAGCCUGAUCCAGCCAUGCCGCGUGAGUGAUGAAGGCCUUAGGGUUGUAAAGCUCUUUCAGUAGGGAAGAUAAUGACGGUACCUACAGAAGAAGCCCCGGCUAACUUCGUGCCAGCCGCCGCAGUAAAAC